rnacentral:rRNA from 1 species
GGGCUCACACAAGCGGUGGAGCAUGUGGCUUAAUUCGAGGCUACGCGAAGAACCUUAUCCUGGGCUUGACAUGUGCGAAAGCGGUAGGAAGUAGAGGACGGAAACGCCCCUCGAUCGGUAUCCAAUCCGGAACCUACUACAGGUGCUGCAUGGCUGUCGUCAGCUCGUGUCGUGAGAUGUCGGGUUAAGUCCCAUAACGAGCGAAACCCUUGCCUCCAGUUGCCAGCGGGUCAUGCCGGGGACUCUGGAGGGACUGCCGGUGUUAAACCGGAGGAAGGUGGGGAUGACGUCAAGUCCUCAUGGCCUUUAUGCCCAGGGCUGCACACGUGCUACAAUGGCAUGAACAAAGGGACGCAAACUCGCGAGAGGAAGCAAAUCCCAAAAAACAUGCCUCAGUUCAGAUCGAAGGCUGCAACUCGCCUUCGUGAAGUUGGAAUCGCUAGUAAUCGCAGGUCAGCAACACUGCGGUGAAUGUGUUCCUGAGCCUU